rnacentral:rRNA from 1 species
CCUGAUGCAGCCAUGCCGCGUGUAUGAAGAAGGCCUUCGGGUUGUAAAGUACUUUCAGCGGGGAGGAAGGNGAUAAGGUUAAUAACCUUGUCAAUUGACGUUACCCGCAGAAGAAGCACCGGCUAACUCCGUGCCAGCAGCCGCGGUAAUACGGAGGGUGCAAGCGUUAAUCGGAAUUACUGGGCGUAAAGCGCACGCAGGCGGUCUGUCAAGUCGGAUGUGAAAUCCCCGGGCUCAACCUGGGAACUGCAUUCGAAACUGGCAGGCUGGAGUCUUGUAGAGGGGGGUAGAAUUCCAGGUGUAGCGGUGAAAUGCGUAGAGAUCUGGAGGAAUACCGGUGGCGAAGGCGGUCCCCUGGACAAAGACUGACGCUCAGGUG